AAGAAGACAUAUUUCAAGCGUAACUGCAUGAAUAAGACACAAAGUCAGUAAGUAAAGCUCAUAUUCUUAACAGUGUUAUUUUAACAACAAUUUUGAGUCUUACUGCAUUUUAUGUCCAAUAGGAAUUUAAUUGUCUUUCUAUACCAUGGAGUGGUGCCAAAAGAUUAUUUUAUGGAGUUAUUGAUGAAAGAUCUGGAAAAUACUCAGUGGUAUUUUUUGCAACAGGCGUGCAGCAGCCAAAAGUAAGUUCCUUGAUGGGUUUCGUUCCUUCAUGUUCUGUAUUUCCAAUUGCCUUAAGCUACGGCGGGAUGGAUGAUGAUUACAACACGUUUAAGUUGAUGUCUUCUCAUAUUCGUGUAGAAGAAUAAUAUUUGCAACAUCGUUUGUCAUUCUUGAAGAAAGAGGAAAAUAUUAGUUUUAAAAAAGGGAAAAUUUCUAGUGCUCAGAGUUAUAUGUUGAUGGGAACCACUGAUCCAACAGGGACUCUAGAAAAGAAUAAAGUUUGUGUUCUUCUGUAUGUACAA